rnacentral:rRNA from 1 species
GAUGAACGCUGGCGGCGUGCCUAAUACAUGCAAGUCGAGCGAACGGACGAGAAGCUUGCUUCUCUGAUGUUGGCGGCGGACGGGUGAGUAACACGUGGAUAACCUACCUAUAAGACUGGGAUAACUUCGGGAAACCGGAGCUAAUACCGGAUGAUAUUUUGAACCGCAUGGUUCAAAAGUGAAAGACGGUCUUGCUGUCACUUAUAGAUGGAUCCGCGCUGCAUUAGCUAGUUGGUAAGGUAACGGCUUACCAAGGCAACGAUGCAUAGCCGACCUGAGAGGGUGAUCGGCCACACUGGAACUGAGACACGGUCCAGACUCCUACGGGAGGCAGCAGUAGGGAAUCUUCCGCAAUGGACGAAAGCCUGACGGAGCAACGCCGCGUGAGUGAUGAAGGUCUUCGGAUCGUAAAACUCUGUUAUUAGGGAAGAACAUAUGUGUAAGUAACUGUGCACAUCUUGACGGUACCUAAUCAGAAAGCCACGGCUAACUACGUG